ensembl:lncRNA
UGGCACAAAUGUUAGUGAGCUGGAAAAUUCCAUUUCCAGCUUUUGUAGUCCACAGCUGGAAAGUGAAUUUUGAAUUUUUCCAACCUUUUGUGCAUUUUACGUGUCAGAAGAAAAGUGUUCAGGCUGAAUGAACAGAUCUGAAUGUGUGGAGCUGAUGCACGUGAAUAUAAUAUAAUAUUAUAUUUAUAUUAUAUUAUGUCAACAUAUAUGACUCAAACAAUCCAGGUCCGUUGUUCUGAGUCCAGCUCCACGUUUUCCUCCUCACAGACAAACUUCAGGUCACGUGACCUCGAACCACGAAACAAGGUAAAUCUCAGCCGAAGCGUCGUGCACCUGAUGAGGAGGAGGAGGAAGAGGAGGAGGAAGGAAGAAGGAGGAGGAGGAGGAAGAGGAGGAGGAGGAGGAGGAGGAGGAGGAGGAGGAGGAGGAGGAGGAGGAGGAAGAAGAGGAGGAGGAGGAGGAGGAGGAGGAGGAGGAGGAGGAGGAGGAGGAAGAGGAGGAGGAGGAAGAGGAGGAGGAGGAGGAGGAGGAGGAGGAGGAGGAGGAGGAGGAGGAGGAGGAGGAGGAGGAGGAGGAGGAGGAGGAGGAGGAGGAGGAGGAAGGAGGAGGAGGAGGAAGAGGAGGAGGAGUUUACUUCACCUUCCUCCAUCACACCGUCGCUCUCUCAGGUGUUUUCGCUCCGUUUCCCCGCAGGGUCCCGAGGAGCUGAAAGUGGGCGGAGUCACGAGCAGACCCUGGUGCGAGGAUCGUGGGUGGAGACGGCGAGACUCGGGCGGCAGGAGGUAAAUCACACACACUGACACUGAACACACACGCAGACGCUCACAAGUGUGUGUGUGUGUGUGUGUGUGCUUGACCUCUGACCUUUCCGCUGAGUGUUAACAUGGGGAGUUUAUCGCUCUGGUUUUAAAAGUAUUGAUUUUGAGAAACAGAAAAAUUAUCGUUAAAAAAACAACCAACCAACCAACCACACACAUUUAGAUGAUGAAGAUGGUUUAUCGUUAAUAUUUACUGUUAAAGAAGCUUGUUGGUAUGUUCACACACCAGCUGUGUGUGUGUGUGUGUGUGUGUGUGUGUGUGUGUGUGUGUGUGUGUGUGUGUGUGUGUGUGUGUGUGUGUGUGUGUGUGUGUGUGUGUGUGUGUGUGUGUGUGUGUGUGUGUGUCAGCGUGCUGGGUGGUAACGGCCAUGACACACUCAGUGGCCCCCAUUCAUUUAUUUCUUAAUAAGGGUCUGGUUAACCUGCGGCAGCGACAGCAGGGGGGGGUGGGGGCGGGGUUAGCGGGAGGGGGGGUCAUUAAUCCCACACAAAUUGGAGGCUCAGUGGCGGCGGCAGCGGUGUAGUACUUAACCACACACAUCAGGUUCAGGCUCAUCAUGUGACGUCCGGUGCCUCGUCCUGACGCCUCGUCAACAACGGUUACCGACGGUUAACGACAUGGUGGAACGGAAACAUUUGAAUAUUCAUAUAUUUUAAUAAAAUUAAAAAAAACUGGACAAAUGCUCGUUUUGGAAACUUGAUCAGUUUUGUUUCGAGUUGAAAUAAAAAGCGGAACCCCUUUUGCUUUUAUUUAGAAAAACCAACGUCGUCAUGAUGUAAAGAGACGUGUGUGUGUGUGUGUGUGUGUGUGUGUGUGUGUGUGUCGUUGUGUUUAAAAUGCAGAGCAGCAGCUCUGGUGGAGACACUUCAGCACGUUCCUCAUCAUCCACCGAUACUUGAGCUGCUCAGAGACGGACCACACACACACACACACACACACACACACACACACACACACACACACUUCACACGCAGCCUAUGGGACGUCCCGAUGGUCUCUGACACUGAAUCUCGCUCUGAUUGUUGUCAAAUGUUCCUCAUUGUUUAAAACAAUAUGAUUCAUAUAAUAAUAUGAUUAUGAAUCUGCAGCUUCAUGAACGUGACUCGUCUUCUGUCCGUCUCUCACUGAUUCAAUUCACCGGUGGUCGUUCGUGGUCCUGGUGACUUCAGGUCGAAUCGUUACGUUUCACCUCAGCAGCUCGUGUGGAUUCAUCUGCGCUGAGGGAAUAUCGUCCCUCACAAAAAGAUUGUUUGUUUGGUCAGAAACUUACAGAGAGCAGCUGUUUGAGGAAACUGAAACUGUAAAUGUGUGAUUUUAAUAUUCUCCAGUGGGAACCAACGAGCUCAGAGCUCAGCGGUGUGGGGGGGGGGGACGUCAGACAGCGACGGACACACUGGUGAACAAUUUCAUCUUCGUCUUCAGCAUUUAAAAUAUGAAAAGAUCCCACUGGUGUGUGUGUGUGUGUGUGUGUGUGUGUGUGUGUGUGUGUGUGUGUGUGUGUGUGUGUGUGUGUGUGUGUGUGUGUGUGUGUGUGUGUGUGUGUGUGUGUGUGUGUGUGUGUGUGUGUGUGUGUGUGUGUGCAGCUCGGUGAUGCGCUUCUGUGGCUGCGACGUCUGAAACACAGAAAAACAACUCGUCACAUUUCAGCACACACAAGUUUCAUCAUACUGUUAGUUAUUAUUAUUAUUAUUAUUAUUCAUUAUAAUAAUGAUAAUUAUUAACAACAGAUGAUGAACGAACAUUUCGCUCUCUGUGUGUUGGUCAGUGAAUGAACUCUGACGUGUCCUUAAUCUUUUAAUUAUUAAUAAUCUGUAACAUAUUAUCAUAAUCUAAGUGUUUCACUACAGUGAUGUCACUUUACUGAUGCUCUUUGAUUGGCUGCUCUUUAACCAAUCACAAGACAGCAAGGCCUUGAACUUUCACCUCUGGUCUUCAUUAAUAUUUACAUUUAUACUUGUCAUGUGAUUUACUGUAACUGUAUGAAGCUUCAACGGAGAGAAUAAAAAAACAUAAUUCAUCAUAAUUGAUUAAAAAUCAUCAGGAUGAACGGAUGAAUAAUAUUAAUAUUAAUGAAAGCGUUUCAAUCUUUUUGAAUAAAUUAUUUAGAAAACGUUAAGACGCCAAACUGGAAAUCUGGGAAGGAAAACUUUUUAUUAAAUAUAAAUAAUUAUGUUUUUGAAU